AAAAAGCAGCAGCAGCAGCUACAGCUUUCUCUCUCACAUUUCCCGAUUUUACUCACCCUUGGAACUUUCCAGCUGAGGGAACUUUGCUGGGAAACAAAGCAGCUCAAGGUGCCUGUGCCAAGAUAUUAGCAUAUAUUGCUCCAGGCAAAGACACCGCUGGGGCGCUCCAUCUGUUUUGCCAAGUUCUCUUAUCACCCCACUCCCCUCUGCAGGGAGCCUUCUUUCCAGGCCUGACUACCAUGCCAUGAGAAGCCCACAUGGACAGGCUGCCAUCACACGACUGCCACCGACUGCCACCUUGGCAGCUCCAGGCAGCGUGGAGGAGAGAAGAGCCAUGGCCCGGGUGCCAGGACUCCUGUUCCUCAGAAUUUGGCAGCCAAAUAAAAUGGUGGUUGUUUUAUGCUA